rnacentral:rRNA from 1 species
UUAAGCGACUAAGCGUACACGGUGGAUGCCCUGGCAGUCAGAGGCGAUGAAGGACGUGCUAAUCUGCGAUAAGCGUCGGUAAGGUGAUAUGAACCGUUAUAACCGGCGAUUUCCGAAUGGGGAAACCCAGUGUGUUUCGACACACUAUCAUUAACUGAAUCCAUAGGUUAAUGAGGCGAACCGGGGGAACUGAAACAUCUAAGUACCCCGAGGAAAAGAAAUCAACCGAGAUUCCCCCAGUAGCGGCGAGCGAACGGGGAGGAGCCCAGAGCCUGAAUCAGUGUGUGUGUUAGUGGAAGCGUCUGGAAAGGCGCGCGAUACAGGGUGACAGCCCCGUACACAAAAAUGCACAUACUGUGAGCUCGAUGAGUAGGGCGGGACACGUGGUAUCCUGUCUGAAUAUGGGGGGACCAUCCUCCAAGGCUAAAUACUCCUGACUGACCGAUAGUGAACCAGUACCGUGAGGGAAAGGCGAAAAGAACCCCGGCGAGGGGAGUGAAAAAGAACCUGAAACCGUGUACGUACAAGCAGUGGGAGCCUCUUUUAUGGGGUGACUGCGUACCUUUUGUAUAAUGGGUCAGCGACUUAUAUUCUGUAGCAAGGUUAACCGAAUAGGGGAGCCGAAGGGAAACCGAGUCUUAACUGGGCGUUAAGUUGCAGGGUAUAGACCCGAAACCCGGUGAUCUAGCCAUGGGCAGGUUGAAGGUUGGGUAACACUAACUGGAGGACCGAACCGACUAAUGUUGAAAAAUUAGCGGAUGACUUGUGGCUGGGGGUGAAAGGCCAAUCAAACCGGGAGAUAGCUGGUUCUCCCCGAAAGCUAUUUAGGUAGCGCCUCGUGAAUUCAUCUCCGGGGGUAGAGCACUGUUUCGGCAAGGGGGUCAUCCCGACUUACCAACCCGAUGCAAACUGCGAAUACCGGAGAAUGUUAUCACGGGAGACACACGGCGGGUGCUAACGUCCGUCGUGAAGAGGGAAACAACCCAGACCGCCAGCUAAGGUCCCAAAGUCAUGGUUAAGUGGGAAACGAUGUGGGAAGGCCCAGACAGCCAGGAUGUUGGCUUAGAAGCAGCCAUCAUUUAAAGAAAGCGUAAUAGCUCACUGGUCGAGUCGGCCUGCGCGGAAGAUGUAACGGGGCUAAACCAUGCACCGAAGCUGCGGCAGCGACACUAUGUGUUGUUGGGUAGGGGAGCGUUCUGUAAGCCUGUGAAGGUGUACUGUGAGGUAUGCUGGAGGUAUCAGAAGUGCGAAUGCUGACAUAAGUAACGAUAAAGCGGGUGAAAAGCCCGCUCGCCGGAAGACCAAGGGUUCCUGUCCAACGUUAAUCGGGGCAGGGUGAGUCGACCCCUAAGGCGAGGCCGAAAGGCGUAGUCGAUGGGAAACAGGUUAAUAUUCCUGUACUUGGUGUUACUGCGAAGGGGGGACGGAGAAGGCUAUGUUGGCCGGGCGACGGUUGUCCCGGUUUAAGCGUGUAGGCUGGUUUUCCAGGCAAAUCCGGAAAAUCAAGGCUGAGGCGUGAUGACGAGGCACUACGGUGCUGAAGCAACAAAUGCCCUGCUUCCAGGAAAAGCCUCUAAGCAUCAGGUAACAUCAAAUCGUACCCCAAACCGACACAGGUGGUCAGGUAGAGAAUACCAAGGCGCUUGAGAGAACUCGGGUGAAGGAACUAGGCAAAAUGGUGCCGUAACUUCGGGAGAAGGCACGCUGAUAUGUAGGUGAAGUCCCUCGCGGAUGGAGCUGAAAUCAGUCGAAGAUACCAGCUGGCUGCAACUGUUUAUUAAAAACACAGCACUGUGCAAACACGAAAGUGGACGUAUACGGUGUGACGCCUGCCCGGUGCCGGAAGGUUAAUUGAUGGGGUCAGCGCAAGCGAAGCUCUUGAUCGAAGCCCCGGUAAACGGCGGCCGUAACUAUAACGGUCCUAAGGUAGCGAAAUUCCUUGUCGGGUAAGUUCCGACCUGCACGAAUGGCGUAAUGAUGGCCAGGCUGUCUCCACCCGAGACUCAGUGAAAUUGAACUCGCUGUGAAGAUGCAGUGUACCCGCGGCAAGACGGAAAGACCCCGUGAACCUUUACUAUAGCUUGACACUGAACAUUGAGCCUUGAUGUGUAGGAUAGGUGGGAGGCUUAGAAGUGUGGACGCCAGUCUGCAUGGAGCCGACCUUGAAAUACCACCCUUUAAUGUUUGAUGUUCUAACGUUGACCCGUAAUCCGGGUUGCGGACAGUGUCUGGUGGGUAGUUUGACUGGGGCGGUCUCCUCCUAAAGAGUAACGGAGGAGCACGAAGGUUGGCUAAUCCUGGUCGGACAUCAGGAGGUUAGUGCAAUGGCAUAAGCCAGCUUGACUGCGAGCGUGACGGCGCGAGCAGGUGCGAAAGCAGGUCAUAGUGAUCCGGUGGUUCUGAAUGGAAGGGCCAUCGCUCAACGGAUAAAAGGUACUCCGGGGAUAACAGGCUGAUACCGCCCAAGAGUUCAUAUCGACGGCGGUGUUUGGCACCUCGAUGUCGGCUCAUCACAUCCUGGGGCUGAAGUAGGUCCCAAGGGUAUGGCUGUUCGCCAUUUAAAGUGGUACGCGAGCUGGGUUUAGAACGUCGUGAGACAGUUCGGUCCCUAUCUGCCGUGGGCGCUGGAGAACUGAGGGGGGCUGCUCCUAGUACGAGAGGACCGGAGUGGACGCAUCACUGGUGUUCGGGUUGUCAUGCCAAUGGCACUGCCCGGUAGCUAAAUGCGGAAGAGAUAAGUGCUGAAAGCAUCUAAGCACGAAACUUGCCCCGAGAUGAGUUCUCCCUGACUCCUUGAGAGUCCUGAAGGAACGUUGAAGACGACGACGUUGAUAGGCCGGGUGUGUAAGCGCAGCGAUGCGUUGAGCUAACCGGUACUAAUGAACCGUGAGGCUUAACCUU